CAGCAUGGUCUUAGCUUGCUAAGACUGAUGGCGACCGGCGCACGGGUGAGUAACACGUAUCCAACCUGCCGUCUACUCUUGGACAGCCUUCUGAAAGGAAGAUUAAUACAAGAUGGCAUCAUGAGUCCGCAUGUUCACAUGAUUAAAGGUAUUCCGGUAGACGAUGGGGAUGCGUUCCAUUAGAUAGUAGGCGGGGUAACGGCCCACCUAGUCUUCGAUGGAUAGGGGUUCUGAGAGGAAGGUCCCCCACAUUGGAACUGAGACACGGUCCAAACUCCUACGGGAGGCAGCAGUGAGGAAUAUUGGUCAAUGGGCGAGAGCCUGAACCAGCCAAGUAGCGUGAAGGAUGACUGCCCUAUGGGUUGUAAACUUCUUUUAUAAAGGAAUAAAGUCGGGUAUGUAUACCCGUUUGCAUGUACUUUAUGAAUAAGGAUCGGCUAACUCCGUGCCAGCAGCCGCGGUAACACGGAGGAUCCGAGCGUUAUCCGGAUUUAUUGGGUUUAAAGGGAGCGUAGAUGGAUGUUUAAGUCAGUUGUGAAAGUUUGCGGCUCAACCGUAAAAUUGCAGUUGAUACUGGGUAUCUUGAGUGCAGUUGAGGCAGGCGGAAUUCGUGGUGUAGCGGUGAAAUGCUUAGAUAUCACGAAGAACUCCGAUUGCGAAGGCAGCCUGCUAAGCUGCAACUG
rnacentral:rRNA from 1 species